GAUGAACGCUGGCGGCGUGCUUAACACAUGCAAGUCGAACGAUGAAGCCCAGCUUGCUGGGUGGAUUAGUGGCGAACGGGUGAGUAACACGUGAGUAACCUGCCCUUAACUCUGGGAUAAGCCUGGGAAACUGGGUCUAAUACCGGAUAGGAGCGCCUACCGCAUGGUGGGUGUUGGAAAGAUUUAUCGGUUUUGGAUGGACUCGCGGCCUAUCAGCUUGUUGGUGAGGUAUUGGCUCACCAAGGCGACGACGGGUAGCCGGCCUGAGAGGGUGACCGGCCACACUGGGACUGAGACACGGCCCAGACUCCUACGGGAGGCAGCAGUGGGGAAUAUUGCACAAUGGGCGAAAGCCUGAUGCAGCGACGCCGCGUGAGGGAUGACGGCCUUCGGGUUGUAAACCUCUUUCAGUAGGGAAGAAGCGAAAGUGACGGUACCUGCAGAAGAAGCACCGGCUAACUACGUG
rnacentral:rRNA from 1 species